rnacentral:miRNA from 1 species
ACACAUUCCAGCCAAUCAGCAGCAGACCCUCCCUCCCAGACCCUCCCACCUCCUGGACAGCAUCCAUUUUACAUUCGUUGUGAAGCUGCAUUCUUAGUGAGCUGUCCAAGAGGUGGGAGGGUCUGGGAGGGAGGGUCUGCUGCUGAUUGGCUGGAAUGUGUCU